rnacentral:rRNA from 1 species
AGAGUUUGAUCAUGGCUCAGAUUGAACGCUGGCGGCAGGCCUAACACAUGCAAGUCGAACGGUAACAGGAAACAGCUUGCUGUUUCGCUGACGAGUGGCGGACGGGUGAGUAAUGUCUGGGAAACUGCCUGAUGGAGGGGGAUAACUACUGGAAACGGUAGCUAAUACCGCAUAACGUCGCAAGACCAAAGAGGGGGACCUUCGGGCCUCUUGCCAUCAGAUGUGCCCAGAUGGGAUUAGCUAGUAGGUGGGGUAACGGCUCACCUAGGCGACGAUCCCUAGCUGGUCUGAGAGGAUGACCAGCCACACUGGAACUGAGACACGGUCCAGACUCCUACGGGAGGCAGCAGUGGGGAAUAUUGCACAAUGGGCGCAAGCCUGAUGCAGCCAUGCCGCGUGUAUGAAGAAGGCCUUCGGGUUGUAAAGUACUUUCAGCGGGGAGGAAGGGAGUAAAGUUAAUACCUUUGCUCAUUGACGUUACCCGCAGAAGAAGCACCGGCUAACUCCGUGCCAGCAGCCGCGGUAAUACGGAGGGUGCAAGCGUUAAUCGGAAUUACUGGGCGUAAAGCGCACGCAGGCGGUUUGUUAAGUCAGAUGUGAAAUCCCCGGGCUCAACCUGGGAACUGCAUCUGAUACUGGCAAGCUUGAGUCUCGUAGAGGGGGGUAGAAUUCCAGGUGUAGCGGUGAAAUGCGUAGAGAUCUGGAGGAAUACCGGUGGCGAAGGCGGCCCCCUGGACGAAGACUGACGCUCAGGUGCGAAAGCGUGGGGAGCAAACAGGAUUAGAUACCCUGGUAGUCCACGCCGUAAACGAUGUCGACUUGGAGGUUGUGCCCUUGAGGCGUGGCUUCCGGAGCUAACGCGUUAAGUCGACCGCCUGGGGAGUACGGCCGCAAGGUUAAAACUCAAAUGAAUUGACGGGGGCCCGCACAAGCGGUGGAGCAUGUGGUUUAAUUCGAUGCAACGCGAAGAACCUUACCUGGUCUUGACAUCCACGGAAGUUUUCAGAGAUGAGAAUGUGCCUUCGGGAACCGUGAGACAGGUGCUGCAUGGCUGUCGUCAGCUCGUGUUGUGAAAUGUUGGGUUAAGUCCCGCAACGAGCGCAACCCUUAUCCUUUGUUGCCAGCGGUCCGGCCGGGAACUCAAAGGAGACUGCCAGUGAUAAACUGGAGGAAGGUGGGGAUGACGUCAAGUCAUCAUGCCCCUUACGACCAGGGCUAUACACGUGCUACAAUGGCGCAUACAAAGAGAAGCGACCUCGCGAGAGCAAGCGGACCUCAUAAAGUGCGUCGUAGUCCGGAUUGGAGUCUGCAACUCGACUCCAUGAAGUCGGAAUCGCUAGUAAUCGUGGAUCAGAAUGCCACGGUGAAUACGUUCCCGGGCCUUGUACACACCGCCCGUCACACCAUGGGAGUGGGUUGCAAAAGAAGUAGGUAGCUUAACCUUCGGGAGGGCGCUUACCACUUUGUGAUUCAUGACUGGGGUGAAGUCGUAACAAGGUAACCGUAGGGGAACCUGCGGUUG